GACGGAGGGGGCAAGCGUUGUUCGGAAUGACUGGGCGUAAAGCGCGCGUAGGCGGCGCAUCAAGUGGAGCGUGAAAGCCCUCGGCUUAACCGAGGAAGCGCGAUGCAGACUGAUGGGCUUGAGUGUCGGAGGGGGAGGCGGAAUUCCUGGUGGAGCGGUGAAAUGCGUAGAGAUCAGGAAGAACGUCGGUGGCGAAGGCGGCCUCCUGGACGAACACUGACGCUGAGGAGCGAGAGCGUGGGGAGCGAACGGG
rnacentral:rRNA from 1 species